GUUUGUGAAGCCGGAUGUGUGUGCCGUUGCAUCUUUUUGAGUAUCCUUCUUCCUUUCCUUUUUGAAUCAAUCAUUUUCGUUUUCCGCCGCGCCUGAAGAAAGAUGUAGGGAAUAUUUGCGACCAAAGAGAAGUUGUUCGUGUUCUGCUGUCCUGCUCUUCCUGUUUGUUAGCUGGCUUCUAGAAAAGCUGAGUCUGCUUACCUUGGUUAACGUCUUCUCGGCCCAAAGCACCAUACUUCAAAGUUGAAAUCGUUGUUCGUGUUUUGGUUCUGCCGCCCUGGUUAUGCUGCUUGCUGGCGUGCUCCUGAGUGGCUGUCUCCGCUCAUCUUCUUUAUCGUCUCCACUCCCUGGUCUUGUUUUGCAAUUGUUUGUUGUUCGUGUUUUGGUUCUGCGGCUGUUUGCUGGCUGGCUUGUGAGGCUCAUCUUGUUUACCGUUCCGAAUUCUUGGUCUUGUUUAGUAAUUGUAAGUUCACCCUCCCUGCCUUCUUGACUGGACCAAACUAUACUUUUCUAUUUCAAAGCUGUAAAUUCCCUUGUAUGUGAUAAAUUUAAUAAUUCCCAUGCUUACAUACUGUUAUGUUUUGGGGUGAGAGCAAUGGGUAAUUUUUAAUUGGGUCUUUCCAAGCAAAUGUCAACGAACACUGCCGCAUGGAACUGCAGUAUUGAAUGGCAUCGAGUUAAUCUCUGUGGUUGUUUUCCUCUUUUGAUUAUUGUGUUGUGAUGGGGUCUCUUCUGAGAGCGACCAAUUCCAUAUCAGCUGAGGAUGGAAGGCGGUUGGGGUUCUGUUUUUUUGUAUUUGAAAGUGAUGAUGUGAGAGGCGCUUUCCUAUUAUUUUUGAAUUUUUAUUCUAUAUAUUUUUCACAUUUUAGAAACUGAGCAAUAACUGUGUGCUGUUGUGUUUGUUAGCUAAGUCUAGUAUUUUGUUGCCCUUUGGUAUUGUUUAUUUUAUUUCGUGACCUGGGCUUCUAGUCAAGUAUUGUCUCCUAUCAUUAAGUACUGCUAGGUGUUUGUAAAUAUCCUGGCUUAUAUCGAGUGUGUUGUGUGUGCUUGGUGGGACUUGUUUGGUGGGACCUGUGAUGUGGUCGCCCCACUCUUAGUUCAUGAUUUUUUGCUGUUAGUGCUGUACGAGUGAUGUGGGAGAUGGUUCUGAAAAUUCUGUGCAAUAGUAUUUCUUUGUUUUCUACAUGUAUGCGUGGUGUGUGAUGUGAAAUGUUUUUUAGAUGUAGGAAUAUUGUUGAUCUUUUGUUCGUGUCUUGCUUUGUAUUUUGGGGGCAAAAUCGGAACUAAUGUUGUUAUCAUUGUGUAAUUCUUCUUUCCAUAUUGAACACUUUGAUUCAUAAUUAUGCUUAGUUGAGUUAUAGA